GACAGGGGUCUCGAGCGUUAAUCGGAAUUACUGGGCGUAAAGGGCGCGUAGGCGGCCUGCUAAGUCGAACGUGAAAUCCCCGGGCUCAACCCGGGAACUGCGUCCGAUACUGGCAGGCUUGAAUCCGGGAGAGGGAUGCGGAAUUCCAGGUGUAGCGGUGAAAUGCGUAGAUAUCUGGAGGAACACCGGUGGCGAAGGCGGCAUCCUGGACCGGCAUUGACGCUGAGGCGUGAAAGCCAGGGGAGCAAACGGG
rnacentral:rRNA from 1 species